AGCCAAUGAUGUGAGAUAAUAUUUGCGACUCUUGAUGGGGUGUUUAUAGACCCUUCUGAUGAUUAUUUAUCCACCAAGAUCUCCGAGCCU